GAUGAACGCUAGCGGCAGGCCUAAUACAUGCAAGUCGAACGAUAGAAAAGAGCUUGCUCUCUUUGAAAGUGGCGCACGGGUGCGUAACGCGUAUGCAACCUACCUUAAUCAGAGGGAUAGCCCGAAGAAAUUCGGAUUAACACCGCAUAAAAUCACAGUACAGCAUUGUACAAUGAUCAAAUAUUUAUAGGAUUAAGAUGGGCAUGCGUGACAUUAGCUAGUUGGCGGGGUAACGGCCCACCAAGGCGACGAUGUCUAGGGGAUCUGAGAGGAUGACCCCCCACACUGGUACUGAGACACGGACCAGACUCCUACGGGAGGCAGCAGUAAGGAAUAUUGGUCAAUGGAGGGAACUCUGAACCAGCCAUGCCGCGUGCAGGAAGACAGCCCUCUGGGUCGUAAACUGCUUUUAUUCGGGAAUAAACCUACUUACGUGUAAGUAGCUGAAUGUACCGAAGGAAUAAGGAUCGGCUAACUCCGUGCCAGCCGCCGCAGUAA
rnacentral:rRNA from 1 species